GUAGGGAAUCUUCGGCAAUGGACGAAAGUCUGACCGAGCAACGCCGCGUGAGUGAAGAAGGUUUUCGGAUCGUAAAACUCUGUUGUUAGAGAAGAAUGUUGAUUAGAGUGGAAAAUUAAUCAAGUGACGGUAUCUAACCAGAAAGGGACGGCUAACUACGUGCCAGCAGCCGCGGUAAUACGUAGGUCCCGAGCGUUGUCCGGAUUUAUUGGGCGUAAAGCGAGCGCAGGUGGUUUAAUAAGUCUGAUGUAAAAGGCAGUGGCUCAACCAUUGUGUGCAUUGGAAACUGUUAGACUUGAGUGCAGUAGAGGAGAGUGGAAUUCCAUGUGUAGCGGUGAAAUGCGUAGAUAUAUGGAGGAACACCGGUGGCGAAAGCGGCUCUCUGGACUGUCACUGACACUGAGGCUCGAAAGCGUGGGUAGCAAACAGGAUUAGAUACCCGGGUAGUCC
rnacentral:rRNA from 1 species